AUGAGGAUGGUUGAAGGUUGUUAUUGUCGUGUUCUUGCAGAGAAAGAUGAAGAUUGGCAGUUUGUUGAUUCGUUGAAGAAGAGAUACGAAGCUUAUGCAGAGAGAAACCUUGAAUCAAGAUUGAAGAAUGAAGCAGAUAUAGAGGGAGCGCGAUUUUUGGUUCUCAUGGAUGAUGUGGUAUCAAUUUUGGAUAUUGUUUUUUUUUUGGACAUUUUAAUGCAAGUUUGA